GCGAAUAUAACUUAGUUGGUUAAAGUGCCAGACUGUGACUCUGGAAACACGGGUUCAAUCCCCGUUAUUCGCC
rnacentral:tRNA from 1 species